rnacentral:lncRNA from 1 species
AACACUCUCUCUUUCAAGAGUUGAAAAAAAAGAGAUGUUUUUUGUCGAAUCGCUGGCACUAAUUAUUAAUUCUAAAAACUCAAACUGUUAGAAAAAUAUAAUCAAUUCACUUAAAGUGUAUAGACAUAUCGCCUAUACAGAUCUCGAAUGUGAUUACUCGGUCCAACCAGCCUCACACGACUUCGAAUAUUACUCGACCUAACCCAGCCUUACAUCAUUUUAAACAUAAAUUCACUUAACCUAAUCUCCCGCACACAGAGCAGAAUGCUGACCCUUUUAAGCCAAUAAUUACAUAAAUACUUUAAAUUUAAAUAUUAUAUAAAUA